ACGCUGGCGGCGUGCUUAACACAUGCAAGUCGAACGAUGAUCCCAGCUUGCUGGGGGAUUAGUGGCGAACGGGUGAGUAACACGUGAGUAACCUGCCCUUGACUCUGGGAUAAGCCUGGGAAACCGGGUCUAAUACUGGAUAUGACCUUCUGGCGCAUGCCAUGUUGGUGGAAAGCUUUAUUGCGGUUUUGGAUGGACUCGCGGCCUAUCAGCUUGUUGGUGGGGUAAUGGCCUACCAAGGCGACGACGGGUAGCCGGCCUGAGAGGGUGGACGGCCACACUGGGACUGAGACACGGCCCAGACUCCUACGGGAGGCAGCAGUGGGGAAUAUUGCACAAUGGGCGCAAGCCUGAUGCAGCGACGCCGCGUGGGGGAUGAAGGCCUUCGGGUUGUAAACCUCUUUCAGUAGGGAAGAAGCGAAAGUGACGGUACCUGCAGAAGAAGCGCCGGCUAACUACGUGCCAGCAGCCGCGGUAAUACGUAGGGCGCAAGCGUUAUCCGGAAUUAUUGGGCGUAAAGAGCUCGUAGGCGGUUUGUCGCGUCUGCCGUGAAAGUCCGGGGCUUAACUCCGGAUCUGCGGUGGGUACGGGCAGACUAGAGUGAUGUAGGGGAGACUGGAAUUCCUGGUGUA
rnacentral:rRNA from 1 species